AACAAAACAAAACACUUUCACUCUGUGUGAUACGUGGCCGGCUAUGGUAGGGUAAGUGUUUGUAAUCGUCUGCCUCUGCCCGGCAUCCCUUUGCUGACGGGUGACUGGAACGGAGGAGACGCCGCGCGAAGCGCAGGGCCCCAGAGGGACACAUGCACAGAGGCGCACACACGGGUCAGGCAGGAGGCGCAGAGUUCGGGGGCCCGGGACUCCACCAAUUCCAGUGCGAUCCUCCCCAGACAAUAACCCACCUCCCACCUUGGCCCUGCCCAGCGCAGCAAGACAGUUGUCUCCCUGUCGGUCUGCUUGUCCAGAAGAGCGGGGUCCCUGCCCUAAGCCCCAGCUCCAGCUUGACUCUUCAGGCUACAAAUAAAAAUUGAGCGUGACCUUUUAAAACUCCAGUGUGAAUAUCUCAUUUACCUAAUGACUUUAUGUCACCUAGGAAGAAGGUCAAUUUCCUCUUAACCUUUUCCCCGCUGCUGCAGUAAGCAUUCUUCCCUAAUCAAUGGUGGCUGGAAUAAUCAAUUCCCAUUUUAUGAUCGCUGACAAACUCAAUCUCAGGGCGGGGUGUGAGAGCUGGGGGUGAGCUGGCUCGGGCCGGGACAGAGGUCUCUCUGCGUACGCCCCGCUCCGCCCGGCGCCAAGGGAAGCCGCUGUCUCUUCCGUCGAGUUCUGAGACCUUGGCAAACUUCCCUCCCCCAACCGCCGGCGUGACUUCUGAGUUGUCACUAAUCCGAACCUGAUAUUCACCAGAGCUCCUUCGGUCACCGACAACGCUCCCCGCUGCUGCCGCGGCCUCCCGCCCGCCCUCCUCGGCGUGUUUUCAUUUCUAAGUCUACGGGCAGGGAUUGCCCCGACCCAGUGUGUGUGUGCGUGUGUGUGUGUGCGUGGUUUCAUUUACAUUUUAAAAAUCAUUUUUGCGUUCUUCAGCGUGGAUCUCAGCACUUUCCCUGUGUCUCAGGCCGACUAACUUUGCAUAAACAAAGCAACAACCGAAGCUCAUAGUGGGUGAAAUCUUGCGGGGAAAUGAAGGCAACCUGGUGGAGUUCGAUCUCUCUCUCUCUCUCUCUCUCUCUCUCUCUCUCUCUCUCCCUCUCUCUCUCUCCCUCCUCUCUCUCUCCCUUCCCCACAUUUCUUCCUCUUCUUUUACCUUCUUCCUCCACUCCCCCCUCCACCCCAAAUUCAGCUAUCCUAAACCAUAGGUUUAUCAGAUACCACUUCCUCCUCUUUUUAAAUUCUUCAGACCUGCCCCAGUCUGGGGAAAUUACUGGGCAAAUUACUAGAUCAGAGCUAUUUUGAAAGCUAAUUUGGGGUAAACUCACCGUUCCUUAUCUUUGCAGGGUUUAAAUAUGAGCCGCUCUCUGGUUCUAAUCCCUCAUAAAGUAGAAAUUGACUUUUACACAUGCAGGGCCUAUUUGAAGGGGGGAGGUCUCUUAACACUGGUUCACCACGGGUCACUGGAAACUUCUCCCCCUUAUUCCACCCUAAUCCCGUUUUCACUCACUACCAAGACACUGAAGCCGCUGAUGAUUAAAGCAAUCUCAAAAGUCUUGCUUAGCUAGGGUUCAAUGGCAGGGAAAUCAUUUUCCUCAAAAAAAGACGUUCUGUAGCCAGGUUUUUGAAGAUUUCCUAUGAAGAGUCAAUCUCUCAAUACUGUAUUACCCAGUUAGUUAAAAGGGAACCCCAAACUGAACUUUCUCUCCCAGAGCGCACUCUCAGGCCUGCCUUGCCUAUGGGGAUAAUCUUUAAAAAGGUAAUCAAACCAUUCCUUUUCUUCAUUCACAGAUCCUCUUUACUUGUAGGCAGACAUUCUGCUAAAAUCGGAAAGUUUUCCAAAUAAUCAAAAACAAACAUAUAACUCUUCCACUUUUUAUCCUUCACUCUGGUGUAAAAAGCAAACAAACAAAAAGGGCCUUUGAGUUCGAGGGGAGGGAUAUCUGGGCCACUGUUCACCCAUGAAAGCUUCCUACAUCCUGUUAGUAAUGAAGAUGGCAAAUCAUGGCACUUGCCUGAAACUUUCAGGUUCCAUUCUUGCAUUGAGCCUCAAGGUGCUAGAGUGUGAGGGGCAGUGAGAACAUGCCAGGUUCAGGACCUGACCUGGGACAGAAGCACUGAGUUCUCAGUAUUGUCAUUUUCCUCUUGCUUCAUACCAGGAAGUAGUUUUGCAACUCACACUGAGUUAGAUUCGAGAUUUAAACGGUUGUCGAAGGUUGGUCCAGCCCUGAGUCACAAUUUAUAACACCCUGGCUUUUAGAAGAUUUGCCUCAUAUUCCCAACAACUGAGUUACAGACCAUCUUAGACUACAACCUGUUUGUAGGCCAAAAAGUGCUUGUACAUACAGGAAGAGUUUCCCAUUACUAAGAGUACUGAAUGGGUUUUUUAAAUCUCUAUUUGACAGAGGAGCAGACAGAUUGGGGAUAGGGCCCUUGACCUCAGAUAAUUACUUCAGUCGUCCCUCUUCAGCAAAUUUAAUUCUCACGCAAAGAGUAAUUAACAACCUCUGACUAUUCUAUGAGAAUUUCCUUUCCUUUUCUUAUCUUAAGGACCCUCAUAGGAAUAUUGAAGAAUAUGUUUAAUGGUAGUUUUUAGUUUCACUGCAUUUAAACAUUUUGCCUUCUGCUCACUUCUUCCAUAGUCUACUGGAACACAUUUAACAGAGUCUUGGGCUGUGUUCUGACUCCAGCACAUGAAAUUGGAAAAUCCAGUCAUCAAUUUACUGCCCUUCCUACUCUCCACCUUGACCCCAAGCAAAGCUAUUCACUAGACAACUCUUCGUCAAUGGAAAAUUCCUUAAGUUUGCUUAAUGAGGAGAGAAUGUCAGAAGAAAGAAAAAAUUUUAAUAGUAAAAAAUGCCAUUCUCUCCUUUUGACUGCCUGACAACUUUGUCUCUACAAGUGUCUCAUUCAGGGUUACAAAUCAAAAUUACAUGUCAGGAUACAAGCCACAGUAUUGGAACAGGAAGAAUGAGCACACAGACCACUAGCUUUUCAAAGGCGACUGAGGUCUCUGCAAGGCUCAUGUCCUAAAUGGAGAGACAUCUUAUUCAAACAUCUCUAAGGGAGAGGGUUGAAUCAGAUCACUUCUGAGGCUGUUUUUAACCCUAGAAAGACAAAAAGGGACUCCAAGGGCUAAAAAGCCAUCAAGAGCUCAGGCUCUGGAGUCUGACGGGAAGGGGCUGAAUACUAGGUCUGGCCUGUGCUGAUUGUGAACUCUUAGUAGUCACCUGACUCCUCUAAACUCUACUAACCUCAUGCAUAAACUCAGCAUAACAAUGGUUGAUAUUACUGGACACAUUUGUCAGCCCCUGCAGGUCCACCCUUUACUUUCCCCCUCCUGGUUUGUGCCCCUGAAGGCUGGUACGGAUGGUUUUAGAAUGGCCCUUGUUUCCUCUUGGGCUUGCCUAGAGUGGGCAGAGCGAGGUCUGGGUGCUGAUUCCCAGGGUCCCUGAGGGCUGGCUGCAUUCCAGCCACAGCUCAAGCAGUCUUCUUCCCAGAGUUCCAUUUCUGGAUUUAGGUAACAAUGUCCUUCUCCAGUACUAGCCUUGGGGCAGUGUACUGUCCCUCGUGGUUUCCUAACACCCUGCUCACACCUUUUUAAUAAAGUUCCUUUAUUAAGCUCUCCUCAAAUUACCCAAUUUGAUGUGUACCAUCUGUUUCCUGCUGGACCUUGACUGAUACACCUUAUAAACGUGUUUAGAGGAUUAAAAUUAAAUGAGAUAAUGCAUGUAAAGCACAUAGUGCAGUUCUUUGCAUAUAGUAAAAGCUUAAUAAAUAGAGCUUUUAUUUAUUUUUACAAUUAUCAUUUUGUGCAACCCUUUCAUUUUAUAUAGGAGGAAAUGGAAACUCAGAACUGUUAGGAGAAGCAUUCAAAGUCUAAUUAACUGAAGGUAGUAACAAUCCUGGGACCAAAUCCCUGAACUGCCUGCUUGAAGUUCAUUGUUCUUCCCUCUGCAUCUUGUUGAGCAAAACAGAUGAGAAAGGAGGGAACUCUUAUUUUCAUAGAUGUUGGAAAAAGGGUUAGACGAGCUAGAGGCAGAGGUGUAGGAGGUAAUAAGCAUUUUCCAUGUAUCAUUGGGCUUGUCCCUGCUAAAUUACUGCUGAAAUAAAGGAAUGCCAUUGCAAUUUAGAAUCCAGUGAUUUCAAUAACAAUAAAAUGGGUAUGUAACAGGGGGCGCAAUGUAUGCUUGACAGGUUAAAAACAAAUUUAUGAACAUAUAAUUUGAAGUUUUAUCAGGAGGCAUAAUAAUGUUUUAAGACUAUAUAGGGUACACUGAAAUUAAUUUUUAAAUAAAGGCUGAUUUUUGGAUUAGCAGUGUAGAAGUAUGAGCUUUAUAAUUCUUUAAAAUAUAAUACUCUGCUGUGAACUCAUAUAGAACCAGAACACUGAAUCCUGAGCCAGAGAUGUUCUGUAAUGUAAUAGCAUUAAUAACUGGAUAGAAAAUAUUCAAUCACUAAUUCCUACAUCCAUUCAGUCGUUCAAAUAGAUAUUCAUUAAGCUUGCAAUAUUCUCUAGGUGCUUUUAUGAGUGUUGACAUAUAAAGAUUAAUUAAAUAUAUUCUCAGCUUCAAUGGGUUUUUAGAGGAAAACAGAGGCAGGCGUAUAAAAAGAUUUUGGUAUGAACAAAAGUAGAAAUAUACCUAGGCUACUAUGGGAGACUUAAAGAGAUUGAGUGGGGUACGGGGAAUUGAGAGUAGAAGAGGCUUUCUUAGGUCAGAACUAAGUCUUUGCAAGAGUCAUGUGUUUCAUUUCAAUUACAUUUUAGCCUUCUAUAUUCUUCCAAAUUAUCAAUGAUACUAAUGAAUUAAGAUUUAGCUUUUAUUAGUAUAUACAUUAGUAAUAAAACCAAAAAAGCACAUACAAUAUUGCAUUACUUUUUACUGUAGGAGGUUGGCUGAGGUAUAUGUGGAAACAGAAACAUUUAAAUAAAUUUUCCCUUGGUGACUAGAGUGUAUGAUAAGAAAAGUAGAAUAAACUUCAAAGGUGAUAUUAUACAGAGACUCACUUGAAAAAUGCCAUCUUCAGAGAUUUCAUUCAUGUACUUUACCAAUUGUGUCUUAUUUGUAUAAUGAAUUGGACCAGGCUUAUUUGAGAUAUAGAUAUACAGUUUGAAAACUAAGUCGGAACGUAUUUGUGAAGAAGAAACAUGAAGUAGGGCCAUUUGUUUUAGGACCUAGGAUGCAUUCAUAUACAAUUGAACAUACUAAUAAAUAGAACACAAUUUAAGCAGGUUAUUUGUUUUUACACAGUCUUUACAAAAUUGGUUAUUUCUCUCUCAACGUUAAUUGAUGCCUAAGUAUAAUUUACCAUGGUAAUGCUGCUAAAUAUUUGUGAAUCUUUGUUGAAGUUCAAACUACAAAAUUACAUUAUCUUGGCUAAUUCUCAUUCAGGUUGCUCUUGUCCACUUACCCUGAUCAUCCCCACUUGGUCCACUGUUUUCUUGUCCACCUCAUAUCCCCAAAUCCAUUCCCACUCACAUUGUGUGUGUGUGUGCACGUGUGUGUGUGUAUGCACACGUAUAUGUCCGUUUUAGCCACCCACAUCUAUGGCUACAAUGUGGAACUGAAAAUUACUUUCAACAGCUCAAAUGUAGAGAUUCAGUUUUUUUAAACCCACUAUAUUACCCUCUGUUAAAUACAAAGGAUUCUUUCUUCCUUGUGGCCCUUAUUGUGUUUUCUGGUUUCUUGAUUAUUUUCUGCCAAUUCAUUAGUCAUAUCCUGAUUUUCUUGAUCUUCAACCCACUUUAAUAAAUGUAUUAAACUGUAAACUAAUACAAUUAAUACAUGUAUCUUUUAAUUUGCUUUCCUGUUUUCAAAGUAGUACAUAUUUACUAAAGACAAUGUAGCAGGCCGGGCACAGUGGCUCACGCCUGUAAUCCCAGCACUUUAGGAGGCCAAGGCAGGCAGAUCACAAUGUCAGGAGAUCGAGACCAUCCUGGCUAACACGGUGAAACCCUGUCUCUACUAAAAAUACAAAAAUUAGCUGGGUGUGGUGGCGGGCGCCUGUAGUCCCAGCUUCUCAGGAGGCUAAGGUAAGGCAGGAGAAUGGCGUGAACCCGGGAGGCAGAGGUUGCAGUGAGCUGAGAUCGCGCCACUGCACUACAGACUGGGCAACAGAGUGAGACUCCAUCUCAAAAAAAAAAGACAAUGUAGCAAUGCAGAAAAGAUAAAAGGAAAGAAAUGACCAAUGAGCAAAGUAUCCAAAUGCAAUUGCUGCCAAAAUUUUAGUGUAUUUUGUGUAUUUUUUUAAUGCAUAAUUUCUUACAUGUAGUUGUAAUUGCACUUUGCAUACAAUUUGCUCAAGUAUUCAAAUUCCUUAUGACUCUAUUUAAAUAGAUGUCAUCAAUGAAGUAAAAUGGUUUACUUUUUCAUUCCACUGUUACUGGGUACUAAGUUUAUUUAUACAUAGUUUUCAUUUUUAUAUGUAAUUCUGUAAUGAGCAUCUUUGGGUAUGAAAGUUUUUCAGAAUUCAGGAUGAUUUCUUAGAAUGGAUCCCUGAAAAUAGACCAGAGGAUAUGAACAUAUUUAAGUGUGCAUCCCAAGGCCUCUCUCACUUUUGAACUUUCUGUCAUGACAAAAAUUCCUUCCUUUUCAUUUUUUGGCUUUCUUCCCCUAGGGUAACCAUAAUUCUGAAUUUUUGGUUAAUAGUUUUGCUAUGUGUGCAUUCCUGAACCAUAUAUAUUUAAUAUAAAUUAUAUGUGAUACAAUGUUAUUGUAUAUAUUAUUAAUAUAUUAACCUCUCUCUAUAUAUACACAGUCAUGACAAUCUCCAUAUUAAUCCCCAGUCAUUUUUGGUUCCUCUUGAAUAGUCCAUUUUUGAGGGAAGAAGUCCUCAGAGUGUGCAGUUCACAUCUAUGCUCUAAAUUCAGUUGUCCUCCUGAAACAAUCCAUUUUCUGUGGAGACUCAUUUCUUUGACAAUAACUCAUUCUCUUUUCCCCUGCUCUCCCACUGUCCCUCUCUCUAUCCAUACUUUUCCUUUCCUUUCCUCCUUUCUUCCUUUCUCUAUGACACACUCAGUAGCCCCUAACUACUCUCAUUCCUCUUGUUCUCAGAUGACUUCACUUCUUGCUCUACUGAAACCAAGGAUUUCUGAUUUGAGUUUUUUCUAAUAUUCUCUUAUUUCCAUCUGUUAUUUCCCAUCCUUUUAGUCGUAACAUUACUCUGAUUAAAAAAUGAUCACUUAUUAUUUUCUUACUUUUAUUUUUAGUAAAACAUGUGUUAUAUUCAAAAGCAUACAUAUAACUACUUAAAUGUUACAAUGUUUAAUAAUAAAAGAAACAUUUAUAAACUAGCCACCAAAUUUAAGCAGGGAAACAUUGCCUGUACUCAUGUGUUCCUUCCUUUUCAUUUUUUGGCUUUCCUCCUAGGGUAACUACCAUCCUGAAUUUUUUGUUAAUAGUUUUUCUAUGUGUGCAUUCCUG
rnacentral:lncRNA from 1 species